rnacentral:rRNA from 1 species
UUAACCGAAUAGGGGAGCCGGAGGGAAACCGAGUCUUAAUUGGGCGUUAAGUUGCAGGGUAUAGACCCGAAACCCGGUGAUCUAGCCAUGGGCAGGUUGAAGGUUGGGUAACACUAACUGGAGGACCGAACCGACUAAUGUUGAAAAAUUAGCGGAUGACUUGUGGCUGGGGGUGAAAGGCCAAUCAAACCGGGAGAUAGCUGGUUCUCCCCGAAAGCUAUUUAGGUAGCGCCUCGUGAACUCAUCUUCGGGGGUAGAGCACUGUUUCGGCUAGGGGGUCAUCCCGACUUACCAACCCGAUGCAAACUGCGAAUACCGAAGAAUGUUAUCACGGGAGACACACGGCGGGUGCUAACGUCCGUCGUGAAGAGGGAAACAACCCAGACCGCCAGCUAAGGUCCCAAAGUCACAGUUAAGUGGGAAACGAUGUGGGAAGGCCCAGACAGCCAGGAUGUUGGCUUAGAAGCAGCCAUCAUUUAAAGAAAGCGUAAUAGCUCACUGGUCGAGUCGGCCUGCGCGGAAGAUGUAACGGGGCUAAACCAUGCACCGAAGCUGCGGCAGCGACGCUGAUGCGUUGUUGGGUAGGGGAGCGUUCUGUAAGCCUGUGAAGGUGGCCUGUGAGGGUUGCUGGAGGUAUCAGAAGUG